UGACAUAUAGUCUAACGGAAAGAACGUGGCUUUUUAAGCUGAAAUAUUGGUUCGAAUCCAAUUGUGUCAUA
rnacentral:tRNA from 1 species